GUAGGGUGCGAGCGUUAAUCGGAAUUACUGGGCGUAAAGCGAGCGCAGACGGUUUAUUAAGCAAGAUGUGAAAUCCCCGAGCUUAACUUGGGAACUGCGUUUUGAACUGGUAAGCUAGAGUAUGUCAGAGGGGGGUAGAAUUCCACGUGUAGCAGUGAAAUGCGUAGAGAUGUGGAGGAAUACCGAUGGCGAAGGCAGCCCCCUGGGAUAAUACUGACGUUCAUGCUCGAAAGCGUGGGUAGCAAACAGGAUUAGAUACCCUGGUAGUCCACGCCCUAAACGAUGUCAAUUAGCUGUUGGGGCACUUGAUGCCUUAGUAGCGAAGCUAACGCGUGAAAUUGACCGCCUGGGGAGUACGGUCGCAAGAUUA
rnacentral:rRNA from 1 species